UGGGGAAUCUUGGACAAUGGGGGCAACCCUGAUCCAGCCAUGCCGCGUGAGUGAUGAAGGCCUUAGGGUCGUAAAGCUCUUUCGCCUGUGAAGAUAAUGACGGUAGCAGGUAAAGAAACCCCGGCUAACUCCGUGCCAGCAGCCGCGGUAAUACGGAGGGGGUUAGCGUUGUUCGGAAUUACUGGGCGUAAAGCGCACGUAGGCGGACCAGAAAGUUGGGGGUGAAAUCCCGGGGGCUCAACCCCGGAACUGCCUCCAAAACUAUUGGUCUAGAGUUCGAGAGAGGUGAGUGGAAUUCCAAGUGUAGAGGUGAAAUUCGUAGAUAUUUGGAGGAACACCAGUGGCGAAGGCGGCUCACUGGCUCGAUACUGACGCUGAGGUGCGAAAGUGUGGGGAGCAAACAGGAUUAGAUACCCUGGUAGUCCACGCCGUAAAACGAUGUCUGCUAGUCGUUGGGGGGCGUAGCCCUUCAGU
rnacentral:rRNA from 1 species